AGUAGGAGAAAGAGGAGCAGCCCAAACUGGGGGACAUGUAGCAGCCGGGUUCACAGUAGGAGGAGAACGAGCAGCGGCCGAAACUGGGGGACAUGGAGUAGCCGGGUUUGCAGUAGGAUGGGAAAGAGGAGCCGCAGACGAAACUUGGGGCCAUUGAAGCAUCGAUCCAAAGAAUGCCGGGUUCACAGUAGGAGAAAGAGGAGCAGCCCAAACUGGGGGACAUGUAGCAGCCGGGUUCACAGUCGGAGGAGAACGAGCAGCGGCCGAAACUGGGGGACAUGGAGCAGCCGGGUUCACAGUAGGAGAGGAAAGAGGAGCCGCAGACGAAACUUGGGGCCAUUGAAGCAUCGAUCCAAAGAAUGCCGGGUUCACAGUAGGAGAAAGAGGAGCAGCCCAAACUG
rnacentral:lncRNA from 1 species